AGCUCAUAGCACAGCUGGAAGGGGAGGGUGUAGCUGUGCAGUCCCGCCCCCUGCCGCCUCUGGAAAGGACAGUACUUGCCACUGUCAGUCCGGCCCUUCCGGCCUGUCGCAGGGAGCGGUUCUUUGCGAUGGAUGUGGUGUCAGCCACUGGGUUCGGGGUCACCGUGUCCCGGGGUUUUCCCAAGCUGCUGCAGCCUCUGCAGAUACUGUACGCAGCCCGGCUGCUGAGGUCACUGAACAGCAGAUUGCUGAGAAGCUGAAGAAUACUACAAAGGACAAUGCAGAACUUGUCAAAAAAGUGUCAAGUUAUAAACAGAAGAUCAAGGAAUCAAAGAAGCUUAUUCAGGAGACCAAGAAAAAAGUCAAUUCCCUGUCAUCAAACAAUUAAAUACAAGGCUGAAAUCAAGAUGCUUAAAGAAAGCAAUAAAUUUCUGACUGAUAUUGCCAAAACUCUUUAUGUUAUAUUCAAAUCUGAGAGGAAAUGAAACGUGAAAAAUCAGGAUUUGGAGGCCCCAGUUUUCUUCUUUGUUGGUUACAAUUCUUCUGAAGCGUGUUGGCUAAGGGGUGUGACACGGAGCAAUUUUUAUGGCAGACUGUCCCAUUUUUGCCUGCUGUGGUUCCCUGUGAGAAGAGAAAAUCAAGAGUAAAUAUCAGUGAAUACAGGAAGAGACAGAACAAUAGGGAGAGAAUCACAGAGCUCAGGAUUCUCUUUGCUUGAUCAGGGGGUCAUCUGGGGUUUAAAAGAAUACUGUCAGCACCUUCAGAGUGACCAAACACAUGGCAGUCAGCCUACGGGAACAUGUGACCUCUCAGGUCAAAGGCGUCCUGGAAGGGAAAAGUUGCAACAAAAAGACAAGUGAAGAGACAGACCUACACAAAACAAAGACACAAAACCACUAGUACUGCAAAAAGUAAAACAGUUUUUCUCUGGCAAAAUAAAUGAAUUGAGUCUGGAGGCUUCCCUUCAAAUUCUGAUAUCAAA